rnacentral:rRNA from 1 species
CCUACGGGAGGCAGCAGUGGGGAAUAUUGGACAAUGGGGGGAACCCUGAUCCAGCCAUGCCGCGUGUGUGAAGAAGGCCCUCGGGUUGUAAAGCACUUUCAGUGAGGAAGAACGCCUGGUGGUUAAUACCCAUCAGGAAAGACAUCACUCACAGAAGAAGCACCGGCUAACUCCGUGCCAGCAGCCGCGGUAAUACGGAGGGUGGCGAGCGUUAAUCGGAAUUACUGGGCGUAAAGCGCGCGUAGGUGGCUUGAUAAGCCGGUUGUGAAAGCCCCGGGCUCAACCUGGGAACGGCAUCCGGAACUGUCAAGCUAGAGUGCAGGAGAGGAAGGUAGAAUUCCCGGUGUAGCGGUGAAAUGCGUAGAGAUCGGGAGGAAUACCAGUGGCGAAGGCGGCCUUCUGGACUGACACUGACACUGAGGUGCGAAAGCGUGGGUAGCAAACAGGAUUAGAUACCCCUGUAGUC